UACGUAGGGUGCAAGCGUUAAUCGGAAUUACUGGGCGUAAAGCGUGCGCAGGCGGUUUUGUAAGUCUGUCGUGAAAUCCCCGGGCUCAACCUGGGAAUGGCGAUGGAGACUGCAAGGCUAGAGUUUGGCAGAGGGGGGUAGAAUUCCACGUGUAGCAGUGAAAUGCGUAGAGAUGUGGAGGAACACCGAUGGCGAAGGCAGCCCCCUGGGUCGACACUGACGCUCAGGCACGAAAGCGUGGGGAGCAAACAGG
rnacentral:rRNA from 1 species